GUCGAGAAUCUUCGGCAAUGGGCGCAAGCCUGACCGAGCGACGCCGCGUGCGGGAUGAAGGCCUUCGGGUUGUAAACCGCUGUCAGAGGGAAGGAAAUGCGUGGUAGUUAUCUUCCAUGUUUGACCUAUCCUCAGAGGAAGUACGGGCUAAGUUCGUGCCAGCAGCCGCGGUAAUACGAACCGUACGAACGUUAUUCGGAUUCACUGGGCUUAAAGCGUGCGCAGGCGGCUGGGAAAGUUGGGUGUGAAAGCCCUCGGCUCAACCGAGGAAUUGCGCUCAAAACUACCUGGCUUGAGGGAGAUAGAGGUGAGCGGAACUGAUGGUGGAGCGGUGAAAUGCGUUGAUAUCAUCAGGAACACCUGUGGCGAAAGCAGCUCACUGGGUCUUUUCUGACGCUGAGGCACGAAAGCUAGGGGAGCGAACGG
rnacentral:rRNA from 1 species